rnacentral:tRNA from 1 species
GCUGGCAUGGCUCAACUGGUAGAGCAGCUGACUUGUAAUCAGCAGGUUACGGGUUCAAGUCCUGUUGCCAGCACCA